UAAACCUUUCUUAUAAUCCAUCGCAAGUUUCAUUGCCGACACGAAUACUAGCUCCGCGGAGGAGUCCUUCUCUUCAAAAGCUUGAAGAUUACUAGCUUGCUAAAUUCUCUAGAGUAACGUUGCUACUAGUCUAGCUUCCUUCGUACAAUAUGGUCUCUUCUAUCGAGCUCAAGUAAAUCCUAAAUUCCGUUUUCCUCCAUAUUAAUUGAAUCUUUGGGCAAUCAAUUAGGCAAUGAUUCAUUGUCUCUUCAGCUUCAUUGCAUCUAGUGCACAUAUCUUAAAUUCCUGGGAUUCGGUUCCUGGGAUUCGGCUAUUGAGUCUGCUUCGAGUUGGUAGCCCAUCAUGAAAAGCUCUCCAAAGGAAUAUUUUCACCUUUGGCAGGCACUUGAGUUCCCAAGGCAUGUUCCACAACUUUUUGUCUUGGCAUUGUGCAAGGAGUUGAUUUUUCGGUGGGUGUGAGAGUUGGAAGGACAAUUUAUAUCCCGAGGCCACCGAGUAGAAUCGUGCUUUUCUCCUUUCCAGGUUUCUCCUUCUCGGUCAGCAGCAUAAAAGAGCAGUGUUCUGGUCCGACAUCGUCUAGGUGAAGGAUGGUCGCUCUCGGAGGAAGAUGAGCAGAGAAAGUUCACAGAGGAAGUUCACAGAAAUUGAACAGAAAUCAAAGUUCACAGAGGAAGUUCACAGAAAAAAGAACAGAAAUCUAAGUUCACAGAGGAUGAAGUUCGUGUUUCUUCAUGUUUCUUAUACUAAAGAAGAUGAGCAGAGGCAAAGAACAAAGAAGAUGAGCAAAGGACGAGUCACUCACCUGGGUUCGAUGGAGGGCUACUGGUGUUGAGGACCACGCGACGAUGAAGACGAUGAGAGGGCUACUGGUGUUGAGAAGAUGAAGACGAUGGAGAUGGAGGGCUACUGGGCAGGGAACCAGGCGACGAUGAAGGGCUACUGGGGCGGCAGGACCAGGCGACGGCGGUGGCGCUGACAACCCGCGACCGCGGCGACGAUGGAGGGCCACUGGGCGGCUAGGGUUCAGACUUCUACUGGGCUAGGGUUCAUUGAUUCACUCACUGUGAGACUGAGAGAGUGAGAUGAAUGGGAUCAGGGGAAGAAGGGGGGGUGGGGUGCUCCACGAGCUGGUCGGAUCGGGUGCCUUUUUUUAAUUUUUUUAAAAACAAUAAAAACGGUGUCGUUUAGCAGAACCGGCCGGUCACCGGUCCGGCCCAACCGGACGAUUUUUGGCCGGUUCACCAAUUUUUCAGCGGUUCUUUCUACAGCGGUUUUUAAGAGAAGACUAGACCGUUUGCAUUGCCGAUUCGCAGUUAAACCGGUCGAACUGGCCGGUCCGGUCCGGUUUUCAGAACCUUAUUUUUUUCUUUGUAGGGUGACUGUCAUCUUAAUAAAUUUUUCUAUUAGUUUUAACAUUUUAUAUCUCAAUUUGUAAUUUUUUAUUGCUUAUACUUUUAAUUUUAUAUUAGAAUGAAAUUCGUGCAAUGUGUGAGAUGAUAAAUUAAUAAUAGUAUAUAGUAUUUUUUAAUGAGUAUUAUAUUAUUUAAAAAAA